GUUAAAGAAGAAGCACAUCUUUAGUUUCCAGUACCUGGCAUUUGGUCAUGGGGUGGCUGCUUUACUCUGUGAAACAAGCAGAGUCCCAGUCCACUGUCAAAUUACAGCUGCUAAUCUUGAGGUAUUUAUGAAGGACUCCUUUGAAGGUUCUCUACUGAGUUUCCCUAAGGAACUAGAAUAUUCAAUCCAGGUUUAAGCCCUUCAGCAUCUGAUUUUCUCCUAGCAACUAUAAUUGAAUUAAUGAUGACUCAUCUGAGAUGAGCAAGUUGGUCUAGUCAGACCAAACAAAAGAUUCUAUAAUCAGGGAGAAGUCUUCUCUGUAUCUCUCUUAUAUAAGCAACAAGAAGGCUGAUGCUCAGUGUGUGGAACGUCUGGAGUGACCAUCUCAAAGCCUUUGUCACAUAAUGUGAUGAGUUUUCUGAUACUCAGAUAGAGCAGGAAAACCCUUAGUGAAACCUGCCUCUGCAGAUGGAUGGCAUGGGAGGAGAGGCAUUGUGGAGAAUGAUUAGGAAAAAUAGGAGAAGGAGAAAGCAGCUCUAUUCCAGAAGCAGUGUGGAGCACAGAGAACCCCUAAUCACUGAGAGUAAGAAAGAAGAAAAAUAUUCAUAAGCUGAUCCUGGAGACCAAAUGUAUUGUAUAAACAUUCCAGACAUUAAAACAACCAGUAAUAGACUUACUCUUUAUAAAUUACUUUAUUUCACAUACUAUCAUCAACCAAGGGGUUUUAUCAUGAAGUAACUACUCCUUUCAUCUUAUGAAAUGGAAAUAAAGGGAAAAUACAGUAACACCAAAUGAAAUUUACUUUGUGAAAGUUAAAUCAAAACUAGUUUUGCUAGAAUGCAAGCCCAUAAAUAACAAAUACUGAUAACUUUAUUACCUGGCAGAUGCACUGGAUACUCUAUUAUUUGUUGACUUUUUAUUCUUCAUAUUUCUAUCUUCAAUUGUUUUCUAUUAAACAGAAAAUGCCAUAGAUGAUUUAUUCAUGACAACUAUCCUUGUUAGGCUUAGAAGCCAAAAACUGCCAGUAAGUCAGUAUUUUUUAAGCAACUACUCUUUGUCAAAUCCAUCAGACACUGGGAACAAAUCAGUGAAUAAAAUGCCCUUAAGAUUAAAUUUUAGAGAGGGCUGACCAAAAAUAAACAUAUAAGCAAACAUGAUUCAUGAAGGAGAUAAAAUAUUGUACAGUGACAGAGAGUGACUAAGGCGGGUUUGAGGGGCUGCUUUAGAGAAGUUGAUGAGAGAAGGCUGUCCAGAGGGCCUGACAUCAGAGCUGAGACAAAUAAUGAGUGCAAAGGGCCCAUGUGAAAGUCUAUGAGAGAAAGAAACAGCAAGUGGUAAAAGCCUGAGAAAAGACAGAGCUUGGUAUCUUCGAAAAACAGAAAGAGGUGAAUGGAGCUGAAGCAUAGUGAAUGGCAGGGAAAGUGGAGGACGAUGUGGUCAGAGAAGAACCAUGUGAGACCACUAGGUGGCAACGAGGAGUCUGGACUGUAUUCUUGUGAUGAGAAACCAACAAAAAGACUUUAAUGGAGAAUGAUAAGAUUCCUGUUUAGAAAAGGUCACUCAGUGGAGAGUAAGAAUGAAGUCAAGGGUCCAGUCAAAAGAAAUAUGUUACAACCUUACUGUUACAUAUAAAUUGCCUGUUCCUAAACAUUCUACAAUCCUGUCUAUAAACUCCAGAAUACCCUUUCUUCUUUUAAGGAAGAACUUUUCUACUUUACACAGACUGAUGGAUGCUAAUGGUAAAGUGAAAGCACAAAUAUAAACACAUCCCUAACUGUGUUUUUCCCUAAGGAAAGUAGCUAAGGAUGAUAUACCUGGAACAUGGCUUAAUGAAACUUCAUACAUUUUAAGAAAAGCUGGUAUUUUAUGUUAUGAAAGUAUUGCUCAAACACAAAUUUUCAGCUAGCAUUGUUUUCUUCCCCUGAUAAUAAGAACACAGAGCUGCUAAUUAAUUGCAGCUAUAAGAGAUAAUGACAAAUUCAGGAGAAACAAGCACUGAAAAUGCUAUACCAUAAAUUUUUAACAUAUAGCACCCAGGCACAACUUAGCGUAGAGACAGGUAAUCCUACACAUCACAUAUCUGUUUCUUAAGGUUAUAAUAAUGUUCCCCUCAACAACAACAACAACAAAAACCAAAUAACCCCAUUAAAAAGAGGGCAAAAAAUGUGAAUAGAUAUUCCUGAAAAGAUGACAUACAAGUGGUCAAGAAACGUGAAAAAACAAAUGCUCACCAUCACUAAUCAUCAGAGAAACACAAAUUAAAACCACAGUGAGAUAUCUUAUACUAGUCAGAAUAUUCAGCUAUUAUUAAAAGGUAACAGAUGUUGGUGAGAACACAGAGAAAAGGGAAUGCUUAUAUACUCUUGGUAAGAAUGUAAAUUAGUACAAUCUCUAUGGAAAAUAAUAUGUGAAUUUCUUAAAGAAGUAAAAAUAGAACUACCAUUCAAUCCAGCAACCCCACUAUGAGUAUCUGCCAAAAGGAAUGUAAACCAUUAUAUAAAAGAUACCUGCUCACAUAUGUUUAUCACAGCACUAGUCACAAUAGCAAAGGAAUCAACCUAAGUGUACAUCAACAUAUGACUAGCUAAAGAAAAUGUGGUGUACACACACACAAUGGAAUACUAUGCAGCCAUACAUAAAAGAAAUAAUGUCUUUUACAACAACUUGGAUGAACUGAAGGCUAUUACCUUAAGUGAAAUAAAUCAGAAACAGAAAGUCAAAUGGUGCAUGUUCUUACAAGUAGGAGCUAAAUACUGUGUACACAUGUAUACAGAGUAGGGAAUAAUAGAUACUGGAGACUAGGAAGAGUGGGAUGGAGGUGAGGGAUGAGAAAUUACUUAAUGGGUACAAUGUUCCCUUUAGUUUAUACUAAAAGUCUGAGUUUACUACUAUACAAUAUAACCAUGUAACAAAAAAGAACUUGGUAUCUGUUAAAUUUAUAUGAAAUAAGAAAAGAAAAAAAACAAAGCAACUUCAUCACCUCUGGAGGUUGCUAGGGCACUAAUUCAUUAUUUUGAAAAUUAGGAAAUAAAGGCAAAGGAUCAAGUAUUAAUGUUCCUGAUAACCAUCUAUUUCAAAGA